rnacentral:lncRNA from 1 species
UUGAAUUUAUAGGCUUGGUCUCCAUUGUGCCUUUAGCUCUGUUUUUGGAGUUUCUUUGUGCUGCUACAACUUCAGUCAAAGGAAAAAUCCCUAUCUUGCCAUCAAAAUCUACCUUCCCCCUUGAAUUUAUGCGUGGUCUGGUGACAGCACACAUGAACAUGACUUUGCUUAUAAAUCUCUUUGAUUUACAGCUUCUAUAUGGAUCUUCUUCAUCGGGCAAUAAGUAAUACC